rnacentral:rRNA from 1 species
UACUCGAGUGGCGAACGGGUGAGUAACACGUGGGUGAUCUGCCCUGCACUUCGGUAUAAGCUUGGGAAACUGGGUCUAAUACCGGAUAGGAGCCAUCUUUAGUGUGGUGGUUGGAAAGUUUUUUCGGUGUAGGAUGAGCUCGCGGCCUAUCAGCUUGUUGGUGGGGUAAUGGCCUACCAAGGCGGCGACGGGUAGCCGGCCUGAGAGGGUGACCGGCCACACUGGGACUGAGACACGGCCCAG